UACGUAGGGGGCAAGCGUUGUCCGGAUUCAUUGGGCGUAAAAGAGCGUGUAGGCGGCCAGGUAGGUCGGUUGUGAAAAACUGGAGGCUCAACCUUCAGAGGUCGACCGAAACCAUCUGGCUAGAGUCCGGGAGAGGAGAGUGGAAUUCCUGGUGUAGCGGUGAAAUGCGCAGAUAUCAGGAAGAAACACCCCUGGCGAAAAGCGGCUCUCUGGAAACGGGUAC
rnacentral:rRNA from 1 species